UGCAACAACAAAAAAACGUGUUUUUUCAUUGUGAGGUAAUUUACCUAUUUGUGGCUGCUAGCCAAAUUGCGUUAAACUUCUAUUCUAAUCUGAUGUAAAAAUACAUUUCUGCCUAAUGUGUUGCAUUAAUAUAUUUCGUGUGAAAUAAAUAUAUAGUCCCUUAUCACUCUAUUGAAGCAAAAAAACACGAUGACUUUCAAUAUGAAACACAGUUGAAAUGGUUUAAAACACAGAUUUUCUGAUGGUCUGCUUUUUGAACAUGCAGGUCAGUAUAGGCAGGUCAGUCACCAGCCACCAGACAGACAGAACCGUGCACCAGGCUUAUCUAUCAGUAUAGGCAGGUCAGUCACCAGCCACCAGACAGACAGAACCGUGCACCAGGCAUAUCUAUCAGUAUAGGCAGGUCAGCCACCAGACAGACAGAACCGUGCACCAGGCAUAUCUAUCAGUAUAGGCAGGUCAGCCACCAGACAGACAGAACCGUGC
ensembl:lncRNA